rnacentral:rRNA from 1 species
UGGGGAAUAUUGCACAAUGGGCGCAAGCCUGAUGCAGCCAUGCCGCGUGUGUGAAGAAGGCCUUCGGGUUGUAAAGUACUUUCAGUCGGGAGGAAGGUGGUAAGGUUAAUAACCUUAUCAAUUGACGUUACCGACAGAAGAAGCACCGGCUAACUCCGUGCCAGCAGCCGCGGUAAUACGGAGGGUGCAAGCGUUAAUCGGAAUUACUGGGCGUAAAGCGCACGCAGGCGGUUGAUUGAGUCAGAUGUGAAAUCCCCGGGCUUAACCCGGGAAUUGCAUCUGAUACUGGUCAGCUAGAGUCUUGUAGAGGGGGGUAGAAUUCCAUGUGUAGCGGUGAAAUGCGUAGAGAUGUGGAGGAAUACCGGUGGCGAAGGCGGCCCCCUGGACGAAGACUGACGCUCAGGUGCGAAAGCGUGGGGAGCAAACAGG